GAUGAAGAACGUAGCGAAAUGCGAUAAGUAAUGUGAAUUGCAGAAUUCAGUGAAUCAUCGAGUCUUUGAACGCACAUUGCGCCCCCUGGUAUUCCGGGGGGCAUGCCUGUCCGAGCGUCAUUGCCGCCCUCAAGCACGGCUUGUGUGUUGGGCCCCCGCCCCCCGGCUUCGGGGGGCGGGCCCGAAAGGCAGCGGCGGCACCGCGUCCGGUCCUCGAGCGUAUGGGGCUUCGUCACCCGCUCUGUAGGCCCGGCCGGCGCCCGCCGGCGACCCCAAUCAAUCUUUCCAGGUUGACCUCGGAUCAGGUAGGGAUACCCGCUGAACUUAAGCAUAUCAAUAAGCGGGGA
rnacentral:misc_RNA from 1 species